GACGUAGGGUGCGAGCGUUGUCCGGAUUUAUUGGGCGUAAAGAGCUCGUAGGCGGCUCGUCGCGUCGGCUGUGAAAACCCGCGGCUUAACCGUGGGCAUGCAGCUGAUACGGGCGGGCUAGAGUUCGGUAGGGGAGACUGGAAUUCCUGGUGUAGCGGUGAAAUGCGCAGAUAUCAGGAGGAACACCGGUGGCGAAGGCGGGUCGCUGGGCCGAUACUGACGCUGAGGAGCGAAAGCGUGGGGAGCGAACAGG
rnacentral:rRNA from 1 species